rnacentral:rRNA from 1 species
UACAGGGGGUGCAAACGUUGCUCGGAAUCACUGGGCGUAAAGGGUGCGUAGGCGGGUCUUUUAAGUCAGGGGUGAAAUCCUGGAGCUCAACUCCAGAACUGCCUUUGAUACUGAAGAUCUUGAGUUCGGGAGAGGUGAGUGGAACUGCGAGUGUAGAGGUGAAAUUCGUAGAUAUUCGCAAGAACACCAGUGGCGAAGGCGGACUCACUGGCCCGAUACUGACGCUGAGACGCGAAAGCGUGGGGAGCA